rnacentral:rRNA from 1 species
AUUAGAGUUUGAUCCUGGCUCAGAAUCAACGCUGGCGGCGUGCCUCAGACAUGCAAGUCGAACGCGAAACCGGCCUUCGGGCGGGGAGUAGAGUGGCGCACGGGUGAGUAACACGUGAGUAAUUUACCUUCGGGUGGGGAAUAGCUCGGGGAAACCCGGAUUAAUACCGCAUAAUGCAGCGGCACCAAAUGGUGACAGUUGUUAAAGCGGGGGAGCGACUUCGGUCGUCCUCGCGCCUGAAGAGGAGCUCGCGGCGGAUUAGCUAGUUGGUGGGGUAACGGCCCACCAAGGCAUCGAUCCGUAGCCGGCCUGAGAGGGCGGUCGGCCACACUGACACUGAAGAUACGGGUCAGACUCCUACGGGAGGCAGCAGUCGGGAAUUUUGGGCAAUGGGCGCAAGCCUGACCCAGCAACGCCGCGUGAAGGAUGAAGUUUUUCGGAAUGUAAACUUCACAAGACGGGGAAGAAUAAGUGGGGGCGAACAACCUCCAUGAUGACGGUACCCGUAGUAAGCAUCGGCUAACUCCGUGCCAGCAGCCGCGGUAAUACGGAGGAUGCAAGCGUUAUCCGGAAUUAUUGGGCGUAAAGCGUCCGCAGGUGGUGCUUCAAGUCUGCUGUUAAAGGCAGAAGCUUAACUUCUGAUAGGCAGUGGAAACUGAAGAACUAGAGGUCAGUAGGGGUAGCAGGAAUUCCCAGUGUAGCGGUGAAAUGCGUAGAGAUUGGGAAGAACAUCGGUGGCGAAAGCGUGCUACUGGGCUGAAUCUGACACUGAGGGACGAAAGCUAGGGGAGCAAAAGGGAUUAGAUACCCCUGUAGUCCUAGCCGUAAACGAUGGAAACUAGGCGUGGCUUGUAUCGACCCGAGCCGUGCCGAAGCUAACGCGUUAAGUUUCCCGCCUGGGGAGUACGCACGCAAGUGUGAAACUCAAAGGAAUUGACGGGGGCCCGCACAAGCGGUGGAGUAUGUGGUUUAAUUCGAUGCAACGCGAAGAACCUUACCAGGGCUUGACAUGUCGCGAACCCUAGUGAAAGCUGGGGGUGCCUUCGGGAGCGCGAACACAGGUGGUGCAUGGCUGUCGUCAGCUCGUGUCGUGAGAUGUUGGGUUAAGUCCCGCAACGAGCGCAACCCUCGUCCUUAGUUGCCAGCAAGUAAAGUUGGGCACUCUGAGGAGACUGCCGGUGACAAACCGGAGGAAGGUGGGGAUGACGUCAAGUCAGCAUGCCCCUUACGCCCUGGGCGACACACGUACUACAAUGGUUGAGACAAAGGGCAGCGAACUUGCAAAAGUCAGCGAAUCCCAUCAAACUCAGCCUCAGUUCAGAUUGCAGGCAAU